UACGGAGGGGGCUAGCGUUGUUCGGAAUUACUGGGCGUAAAGCGCACGUAGGCGGAUUGUUAAGUCAGGGGUGAAAUCCUGGAGCUCAACUCCAGAACUGCCUUUGAUACUGGCGAUCUCGAGUCCGGGAGAGGUGAGUGGAACUGCGAGUGUAGAGGUGAAAUUCGUAGAUAUUCGCAAGAACACCAGUGGCGAAGGCGGCUCACUGGCCCGGUACUGACGCUGAGGUGCGAAAGCGUGGGGAGCAAAGCAGG
rnacentral:rRNA from 1 species